UACAGAGGUCCCGAGCGUUGUUCGGAUUCACUGGGCGUAAAGGGUGCGUAGGUGGCAUGGUAAGUUUGAUGUGAAAGCUCAGGGCUCAACCCUGAAAUGGCAUUGAAUACUACUGUGCUGGAGGUUUGGAGGGGGGACUGGAAUUCUUGGUGUAGCAGUGAAAUGCGUAGAUAUGUGGAGGAACACCGAUGGCGAAGGCAGCCCCCUGGGACGGUACUGACGCUGAGACGCGAAAGCGUGGGGAGCGAACAGG
rnacentral:rRNA from 1 species